rnacentral:misc_RNA from 1 species
AACGCAAAUUGCACUUUCUGGUAUUCCGGAGAGUAUGCCUGUUUGAGGGUCAGUGUAAUAAAUAAAUCGUGGUGAUUACCACCUUUCGUGGUGACGCUUCGGAAUUGAGUCGUCUUACCUUCGGUUAAGUGACUUAAAAUUUUUUCAUACGAUUUCGAAACGUAUUUAAUGUAUUAUGUACGUUCACGAAUACCGAAUGUUUAUUAGGUGCGGUCAUUUUCAUGAAUUCGCGUCUAUAAUUUUUUUUUUUGACCUCAAAUCAGGUAAGAAUACCCGCUGAACUUAA